rnacentral:rRNA from 1 species
AUCCAUAUACAACUGUCACAAGGAAAUAAUGAAUUUUGUUGGAACCUACACGUGAGUGGUAAAUUCACGGUGGACUAUAUGUAUAGAGCUAUUACCCAGUCAGAGAUACCAGUUGAUAACAAUAAAAAGAUUUGAAAGAUGAAGAUGCCGCUUAAGAAUAAAAUAUUUCAGUGGUACCUUCGUCGAGGAGUCAUUCUUACCAAGGAUAACUUUAUUAAGAGGAAUUGGCAUGGCAGUCCAGAAUGUGCUUUUUGUCAUCAAGACGAAAGAACAAAACACUUGUUUUGCCAAUGCAAAUUUGCUUGUUCUAUAUGGUCAGUCAUCCAAGUAGCUUCUGGCUUGUAUCCUUCAUGUAGUGUUGCUAAUAUAUUUGGCAUACAUGGGAUUGAUCACAGGUUUAGAAUUAUUCUCAAGGUGGGAGCGCUUGUUGUUAUUUGGUCGUUUUGCUUAUGUAGUAACGAUAAGAUUUUUAACAAUAAAGUACUUGUCCUAUGUAGGUUAUCUACAGAUGUACAAGUGCGCUCCACUUAUAGUCAUCUUUACAACGUGUGA